UCACAAAAAUAACAUUAUUUUAUUAAAAUAAAAUAUAUGGACCUCCAGCAGGCCCACAGGAUGGGAAUUGCUGUUAUUGGUGAUAAAUAAAUUAUAUAAAACAAAACAUUAACUCUAUGCAGGACUUGAUGCAUAUAGUAUACACAACACACACAAUCUGACACUAAAACGUUCACAAAAAGAACAAAACACCAGUGUGUAUUGUGUGCGUGAGUGUGCGUCCGUGCAGCUUGGCAGCUUCUUAUCUCGGCCCAGUGCGCUGGUUACACCCAGUGACCCUGACGGCCGCUCUCAUUGGCUAACGCAGGCUUUGCGCCGGGCUGUCAGGCCGCAAGUGGAACCCUUUGUUUUGAUUUUCAACUGCAGAGUUCAAGUUGAAGUCUUGAGUUCUUCUCAAAACACUUUAAGGAAGACAAUCAUCUGCACUGUACUGGAGUCCCUUCAAUAAUUAAGAUGGAAGUCUGCUAAGAAAGACAAUGAUGUGAAGUCCCAGCCUAUCACAUGGUACCAUGGUCGUGCCCCUUCAUGAAAGCUCUGCAUGCAAAGACGAGAGGAGCAUGGAAAUGUAUUCUCAAUAUGAUCAAAUUAAAUUUCUGUUGAGUAGCACGACAGCUUGUGUGUGUGCGUGUGCAUGUGCGUGUGCGUGUGUGUGUGUGUGUGUGUGUGAUUCUAUAUAGGCCACGUCUUAGUAAUAUUAGCUAUUUUAAGGUGCUUGGAGCGUUGUCAAUGUUAAAGCACAUAACCACACACCCCAAUUAGUAAAUUCAACUUCAUUUUUAGAAUCCAAUGCAUUGUGGAAGCUCUUUGUUGAGGUUAGAUGAUCCACUAUUAUUUUUACAUAUUUUACAUGAUCCAGCUUCAGGUCUAAUGCAUGUAAUGAUUCGUCCAAACAAAGACUCAAACACAAGAAGGACGAAAACAAACUAAAUUAAAGAUUGGUAUUAUGUGCGUAAUCAAUAAAGAUAGAAAAGUAAUAUAUUCUAUUUUCUAUUUUAGAUUUAAUGUGAUCACUUUUAAUUUCCUAACCCCUGAGUGUGUGGGAACAACAUCCAUUCCUCACACUGCGGCCUGUACGCCUGAUCAAGGGGAAAGGAGAUUCAGAGGGUACUGAGGACUCCAGGCCCCCUCGGAGCCCAGCUGUAUCCAGAGAUAAGGCCUCAGACUGGGGCACGUGCAGCACCAGCGGCCCCUGGAUCCCCUAACACCACGCGGAGCUGGGUCCUCCCAGUCUGCCAAGAGGGACUAUGUGCGUCAGAGAGAGAGAGAGAGAGUGUACCUAGUGAAUCUAUGGAGGUGAAUAAUGGAUUCUAGAACUCUGAGAGCUAGAACGCCUCUGGGAGGAGCGUUUUUUUCUAAAGGCUUCAUAACGUCUUCUGCUGCUUUCAGUCCCCUACAGACACACUGACACAGAGUAACGCGCAGUUACUGACUUUAUAGGCCCACGCCUUCUGUCUAUUUGUUUGUUGUUGUUUUGUCUUUUGUAUUGUCUUGUAUAUGGACCUAUAUGAGUUUGAAAUAAAGAUAAAGAAUCUAUCUAAU
ensembl:lncRNA